rnacentral:rRNA from 1 species
UACAGAGGGGGCAAGCGUUGUUCGGAAUUACUGGGCGUAAAGGGCGCGUAGGCGGCCUGUUAAGUCGGACGUGAAAUCCCUCGGCUUAACCGGGGAACUGCGUCUGAUACUGGAUGGCUUGAGUUCGGGAGAGGGAUGCGGAAUUCCAGGUGUAGCGGUGAAAUGCGUAGAUAUCUGGAGGAACACCGGUGGCGAAGGCGGCAUCCUGGACCGACACUGACGCUGAGGAGCGAAAGCCAGGGGAGCAAACGGG